rnacentral:rRNA from 1 species
GACGAACGCUGGCGGUAUGCUUAACACAUGCAAGUCGAACGAGAAGAUCAGUUAAGAACCUUCGGGGGAAUAAGUGAUUGGAAAGUGGCGAACGGGUGAGUAACGCGUGGGUAACCUGCCCUAUGGAAAGGAAUAGCCUCGGGAAACUGGGAGUAAAGCCUUAUAUUAUGGAGAGAUCGCAUGGUCAUUUCAUGAAAACUCCGGUGCCAUAGGAUGGACCCGCGUCCCAUUAGCUAGUUGGUGAGAUAACAGCCUACCAAGGCGACGAUCAGUAGCCGACCUGAGAGGGUGACCGGCCACAUUGGGACUGAGACACGGCCCAA